AACGAACGCUGGCGGCAUGCCUAACACAUGCAAGUCGAGCGGUAAGGCCCUUUCGGGGGUACACGAGCGGCGAACGGGUGAGUAACACGUGGGUGACCUGCCCUCAGCUCUGGGAUAAGCCUGGGAAACCGGGUCUAAUACCGGAUAUGACUCCAUGACGCAUGUUGUGGGGUGGAAAGCCUUGUGCGGCUGGGGAUGGGCCCGCGGCCUAUCAGCUUGUUGGUGGGGUGAUGGCCUACCAAGGCGA
rnacentral:rRNA from 1 species